GAUAGAAGUUGGCUAUGUUGUUCCAUAAGCAUAUUUUCAACUCAGCACAAUGAAGACCAUUGUCCUAGAUGGCCUGCUGGGGAAAUGGAUUAUGUAAUUAUGAAGAGCUGAGAUUUAACACUUAUGCCAGUAUCUGCUGGCCAGGCUGGAGGGCAGUGGCAAUCAUAGCUCACUGUAGCCUUGAACUCCUGGGCUUAGGUGUUCUCCUGACUCAGUCUUCCAAGUAGCUGGAACUACAGGUGUGUGCCACCAUGCCUGGCUAAUUUUUUAAAUCUUUUGCAGAGAUAGGGUCUUGCUAUGUUGCCCAGACUGGUCUCCAACUCUUGGACUCAGACGAGGUUUUGCCAUGUUGCCCAAGCUGAUCUCGAACUUCUUGGCUCAAGUGAUCUGCCUGCCUUCCAAAGUGCUGGGAUUACAGGCAUGAGCCACCAAGCGCAGCCAUGAUUUAUUAGAUCACUUCUAAAAGCCCUCUCUCCAUCUCCAAGCCAGCAAGUGCUUCUUUGCACCCCAGCUCUAAAACAAAGCCCUUGGGGACACAAUCAAAGACAGUAGUUGCCAAGAGGAAUAGGGAGCAUGGAAAGAAGGUGCUGGAUGUGCAUACAGCUAACCUGGUAACUCCAAACUGGAUGAGCUCAUUCCUUGAGACUGGAAUUACAAAAUUGGAACAGCUCACUAAUAAUUGAAGAUGAUUUGGGAAAACCAUUAUCCUUCCUCAGGUUUUACAAGAACCUGUGACAAAUGAAAAUGGUUUUCCUAGAUAAGAACGAAACUGUGUUGGGUGGCUAACAAGAUUGAAACUCAUCUGACUUUGAGAAAUAAAUCAAUUUGGGUAAAAUUAAACUGCGGGACAUAGCGCAGAAGACUUGUCACAAUUUAGGACCAACCUACCAAGACUUCUUGAUCUCUUUCCACUUCUUGCCCCUCACUGUGUUUGAUUUCUGCCUUCCAGUCUGAACUUCUCACUAUAUUCCAGAAAAGGCCUGUUAAAGAGAUCUGGUAGUCAAAAGCAACCUCUUUUUUGCUUGUGCUCUCUGUUAUACAUAAGAAACCAGUCCUGCUGCAGCUCCAUAUUUGCAUUACUAAUUUAAUCAGUUAGCGGGACACAUGCUCUUUAUAACCCAAAAAAUUGAAGCAUGAAAUUUGGGAGUCAUACCCAUCACCCAAAUGUGGCAUAACAAUGUUCUUCUUCCCCGCAAAGCAGUGUCCUUCCCCAAAGAAAUUCUGGGGAUUGGCAUUUUCUUCAUCCACUCCUUUCAUUAUUUCCUUUACCUAUUUCUCUGAGUCUAUUAGCAUCCUUGGAGGGGGGAAUGUAUCUUAUUUAUUGUUAUAUCUCCCAGGCUCACACAUCACUCAAUAAAGGUUUGUUGAAUGAAACAAUAAAUGGAUGCAAGACUAAAUGAACAAAGAAAAGCCACGGGGAAGAUAACAAUGUUAUGUCAUAAUUCAGGAUCAUCUUUUUCUGUUUUUUCCCCUCCAGCUUUAUUGAGGUAUAAUUGACAAAUAAAAAUUAUAUAUAUUCAAGGUGUCCAACAAGAUGUUUUGAUAUACAUAUACAUUGUGAAAUGAUUACCACAAUCAAACUAAUUAGCAUGUCCAUUACCUCACAUAAUUACCUUUUUUAUGUGUGCUGAGAAUACUUAAGAUUUGCUUUCUUAGCAAAUUUUAAGUAUACAAUACAUUAUGAUUAACUAUAGUCAUCAUACUUUACAGUAAGUCUCCAGAACUUACUUCAUCUGCAGGUUUGUACUCUGACCAACAUCAUCUUAUUUCACUCCCCACCCCACUUUCAGCACUGGUAACCACAUUUCUAUUCUAAGCCUUCUGGUGAAAUUUCUUUCUUAUUUCACUCCCAGUGAGUAACACAAGAGAAAAAUAAACAACAAAAGCCAGUCAAUAAUUAUAAAGUGAAUCUUACCAGUAUAGAGUUAUAAGCCUUGUUUUUACUUCACUGAUAAUGUUGUCGUGAACACUGUUUGAAUAAUGAAGACUAAAGGAAUGAUGGCAUGCACUGUGAGUUCUUGAUGUGGUUGAAGCAAAAUUCCCAACAAACAGACAUUUUGCUAUUUCAUUAGUGUUUAUGGCUGAU
rnacentral:lncRNA from 10 species